AUUGAACGCUGGCGGCAGGCCUAACACAUGCAAGUCGAACGAGUGGCGGACGGGUGCGUAAUGUCUGGGAAACUGCCUGAUGGAGGGGGAUAACUACUGGAAACGGUAGCUAAUACCGCAUACCAUCACAUGUGCCCAGAUGGGAUUAGCUUGUUGGUGGGGUAACGGCUCACCAAGGCGACGAUCCCUAGCUGGUCUGAGAGGAUGACCAACCACACUGUGACUGUAGCACUGUACGGACUCCUACGUGAGGGAGCAGGGGGGAAGAUUGCAAAAUGGGCGAAAGCCAGAGGCAGCCAUGCCGUGGGUAUGAAGAAGGCCGUCGGGUUGAAAAGUUCGGUCAGCGGGGAGGCGUUACCCGCGGAAGAAGCUCCGGCUAACUCCGGGCCAGCAGCCGCGGUAAUAC
rnacentral:rRNA from 1 species